GCAGAGUAGACUGUAUUGCGUUAAGUGUCCGGUGAACAGGGAGUUGUCAUCGGGACGAAGGCCCAAGGGCCGCGGUUUUAUGGUCGCAUCCCGCUGC
rnacentral:ncRNA from 1 species